rnacentral:rRNA from 1 species
UACGUAGGUGACCAGCGUUGUCCGGAUUUACUGGGCGUAAAGAGCGCGCAGGCGGUCGUUCAAGUCGAGUGUGAAAGCCCCCGGCUCAACUGGGGAGGGUCACUCGAUACUGAUCGACUUGAAGGCAGGAGAGGGAAGCGGAAUUCCCGGUGUAGUGGUGAAAUGCGUAGUUAUCGGGAGGAACACCAGUGGCGAAGGCGGCUUCCUGGCCUGUUCUUGACGCUGAGGCGCGAAAGCUAGGGGAGCAAACGGG